CAGCGAAGCGCCACACUCGCUUGGUAGAGGACAGCGGCGCUCCGCCGCGUUUGUGGGAGUGGCACCACAGAAGGAGACCAUGCCAGAUGAACCUUCCUCUGUUAAGCAAAAAUGCCUGGUUUUGCCGUUCAGCCUUGGCAGACAGAAGCGUGGUUCCUCAUUUUGCUUCUCCUGGUGAACACUGAUUCCUUUGUGAUCUGCUUGGAGUGUUUGUGUAUGAGAGGACAGGGCUCACCCUGAUUGGUUGUCCAGCCCUUGGCAGCUGUUGGACAGCACACAGACUUCUCACAGGUGCUUCUGCCCGAACUCACAGGUUCAUCCUGGCUGGCUUGACAGAUGUUUUGUUUUGUUUUGUUUUGUUUUUGUGAGGAGAAAGAAGAAAACUGAAAACCAAAUUCAGCCCAAGCAAAAAAAAGGUCAGCUUGCUGCACAUGCAGAGGCCUUUCCACCGAUG